GUGUGUGCGUGCACGUGUUAGCGUGUCUGCCUGCAUGCAUGUAUGUGUGCUUGUUUGUGUUCAUCAAUGUGCGCGUGCGCGCUUUUGUGUCUGCGCUUUGAGAGUGCGUAUACUUGUGUGUGCGUGCGUAUGUAUUGCAUGACGCCGGUAGACUUUUACUCGCAAUAAAACUCUUCCGAUUUGGUGCAGCGAGUGUUCCCGCCUGAAAGCCGAGUUUGGUUUCAAGCCACCCUGGACAACUGCUGUAUGAGGCGCCGUUUCUCGGGAGGACCAGUGGGAAGGCGCCAAGUCAUGCAGAUGGUAGCAGCAAUUUCACAAUGCCCAGCCUUGGCGCCCCCCAUCAAGAGCAAGCCACUUGCGUUCGCCUUCAGACAGAUGGUUAAUGUCUUCUUGAAAGCGGUUGAGAAGACAACAUUGAUGCAAGAUUCCAGCAAUGCCAUGCGCUGCAUUUAUUGGUCAAGAUGCUCAGAGAAUGGAGUCCCUGCACCUCGUGGUUAACCGUGAACAUUUCUUUUUCUUUUGGAAAGCUAAAGGCCAUUUGCUGCACCACUUGCAUUUUUGCAGCUCAGAUGUGUACUAUAUUUUUCUAAUUUUGAAUCAAUAUUGGCUGUUCAGUAUAAAAAAUGACUUACAGCGUGAAGGACAAGGACUGCGAGAGACACACUCCACUGACUUUCAACAAUAUUUUAUUGCUUUGCCACAUCGUGUGUGUAUACACAAGAGGGGUCAUGCGCAGAAAAUGAAAGCCAGUAACAAGGGGUGUUCUAACAGCAAGUCAUUGUAAAAAGAACAUGGUCACUUGAAAAAAAAACAUCACAAUUUCUAUCUGUUUAGAUACAAAAUUUCACUAGGGGUCAGCGGGAUAGAGGGGGCACGAACGCACACACUACCCAGUUUUCUGGUGAAAUCAGCUUCAAUAAUUUACCUGGUGAGCUGUGUCUCGCUAAAACUUCCCUAUCUUAAACAUGGGCAUGCAGCCGCAGUCCCGACAAUGAAUGCCCAAGUGGCCUUGAACAGUGUUAUUGACGUUGUUAUAGUGCUCUCUUAAACGAUCAUUUAGGCGCCUGCCUAUCUGUCCAAUAUAUUUACUGCCUCAAAAUGGGAAUUUGGGAAACCACAUUCGUUGCACACAUUGCAAAACGUUUUCUGUGCCCGGCAGAGCAACUACUCUGACGUGAUUUAGGCGCGUUUACACACUUGCAGAGCCUUGCCAGCUUUUCCGGGGCUGAGAAAAGGACUGUGAUUUCUGCAGGUUCCCUAAUCUGUUUUUAGCCUAUGGGAGACAUCAUGAACAUACGGUAGCACUGCAAACCUGUGUCUUUCAACCGGCUGGUUCCUUGACCGAGCGCGCUCAUCAUGUUUUGUGCACUUCAGAAGCUGUUCCGCUGUGGCUGAAAUUAACGCCAAAGGGUAGCCAACCCAAGAAAGGCAAUCAGCCUGUGCAGCAACGCUAUGUUGCAUCUCGUGUAAGCAAGAUUUAUUGAGGCUGUUAAGGAGGCAAAGCUUUACAAUAUCUCAUUUGACUUUGUUGGACAGACAGGCAGGCGCCUAAACAAUCAUUUAGGAGAGCACGAUAACAACGUCCAUAACACUGUUCAAGGCUACUUCGGCAUCCAUUGCUGGGACUGCGGCUGCGUGCCCCUCUUUGAAGGUACGGAAGCUUUAGCGAGACACAGGUCAUCCGGGAAACUACAGAAGCAGAUUUCACUAGAAAACUGGUUAGUGUGUGCGUUAGUGACCCCUCUAUCGUGCUGACCCCUAGUGAAGUCUUGUAUCUCAACAGAUAGAAAUUCUAAUGUAUAUUUUUUUCAAAAGACGAUGUUGUUAGUACAGUCACUUGCUGUUAGACACCCCUUGUGACUCAUAUUCUGCGCAUGCCCGCUUUUGUACAAAUACACAUGAUGUGGCAACGUAAUUAAAUAUUGUUGGAAGUCAGCGCAGUCUGUCAUCUCUCGCAGUUCUUGUCAUUCAAGCUGUAUGUAAUUUUAUCUCAUUAAUUGCAAACUAUCCCAAGAAACUACCCUUGUUCAGUAUAAUUAUAAUGUUUGAUACGACCAUUUGCUGGCAAAUGUUAACAGUGUGAUAUUUAACUUGAACUUUUGCAUGACUGCCUAUGCCUGUGUUCUUUUAGUAACCAGAGUAUGGCUAAUUUAUUAAACCAUAUUUGCUAAUUUGCAUGCUCACAUGCUAUAGCAUGUCCUAAUCUUGAAUUACUGCAUCUAAGUGCAAAUAAUUUAGAAAUUUACUAUGUAUUUUAAAACACUGUCCACAUUUUGUGCUCAUCAAAAUCGUCAAAUCGCCGCACUAUGCUGAUUCAUAGUGCGGCGCCUAAAAGGUUAAUCAACAGUGGUUUGUUUUUAUCAGGCCUCCUACUGCACUUUGCACCCAGGCACUAGUAGAUGUGGAAUAUGCACUCUUUUGAUUUAUAGUAAGAAAAGAACCUAUUUUCAAACUACAUAUUGUAUAUGUACCAGUGCCUUAGAGUUACAAAACAAAAAUUUAUAGAAACUGGUAUUGUACUUAGAAAAACCGCUACACAGCACCUUUAGCCCAGAGAACUCUUGUUUCACAAAAGAGGACAAACUAUGUAGGCACUAAAAAUUCUACAUAAUUUUUGUGCUCAAGUAAUAUUGUUGGAAAUAGAAAAUUAGCAAUAAGGCUCCUGGCAUAAACCUCACUUAAAGCAUGUCUAUGCUUGGAAAGUAUUGUUUCAGUCUGAAAAAUGUUGGCCAGUUAUGCUUUACAUCGACUUUCCAAACUUUUCAUAAUGCUUUGCGAUUACAUUAGUGUACAAAAUAACAGGUGUAUUUCUUGUGCGUUUGUUCAGCAUUUCAAUUGCUUCCCUAAUUCACCUUUGCAAUAUGCCUUUUUUUAAGGCAUCAAAACUUGAAUUUUCGUUCACUGGAGCCUAAUACUAAAAAUUUAUUCCUUUAUGUGGCCGAAAACACUGCGAAUCAACCCAGGCUCUUUCAGUGCCGCUAUACAUAGUUUCUUCUCUAAUAACAGAUUUGAUCAAUACAUAUAUUUUAAGUACCUUUGUGGGGAAUGUACAUGUUCUUGUACUUACCUAUGUGUUUGGUGAUUGUGCAUGUUUAUAUUUCAUGUGAUUUAUGUAUAUGUUGUACUCUGUAUUGCAGCAUGCAAUAAAUAUAUUUGCGUUUUCUUGAAAAUGCAGCAUAUAUCUUACCAGUCUGUGUUGCAUGUUAUUUGGAUAUGGAAAUCGUGAUAACCUUGGUGUUGAUAUACAUGCUCAAAAGUGUCAAGUUUGCUAGGUUGUAUUUGUGCAGCGAAGACAGGUUUUCCAAUAUACACCAUGAAUUACUAAUAUGUAAUGUGAUCCACACAUAUAGGUGUUGUGUAUGCCCAUCGAAGCUUCAAGGCCGGCUGUUCGACAGUGCGUUUGGUAGCCGAACUUGAACCUUCUGGCACACGCAAUAGUUGCGCGUGGAUCGCUGUCCAUAUUAGUAAUUGAAGGCGUGUACUGCCGAAUCUGCCUUCCAUACACGCUAGAAAUAAAAGGGUGUACACCCUUCCAACACCCACACAGAUGGGUGUUAAUUUGGACGAGCACCCUUACACCCUAAAUUUAUUUUGCUGGACACCCUUCCUUUAGGGUGCUAUAGUGGCACCCCAACUGUAGGGUGUAGACAACAGCACCCUUAGGGUGUUCGUCUGGCGACAAACUGAUUUACACCCUUAAGGGUGUUAAAAUGUUUAGUGUGUACCUCCAAAGAUGUUUUAUCGGGAAUCUCCCACGGUGCUUACCCUUCUUAAGAAUUUCCACCUGUCGUAUGUUUGUGAUUACUUCUUAUAAGCACUUUUUUAGAAUGUUCACAGUUCACCUAAUGUCUAUAGCCUAAUUUCACGCAUAUAUUACUGUUUGCGCUAUAUACCUUUAGUCUUUGCAUUUAACUAACUUUUCACAAGAAGUACUUUAGCACCUCGCAUGCUGUAAUGGAAAUUCAGAUAAUUUUUUCCUCUGAACUUGAUGCAAUAUAAUAGGAUAAUCCUAAUUGUCGAAUGUUUUAUAAUAAUCGGUGAAAUAUACAGUGUAGCAUUGUGGUUUACUGCAAGCAGUGACUACACGAACCUUAAUGUCUCAUAAAAGAAG